rnacentral:rRNA from 1 species
UACGAAGGGUGCAACAGUUGCUCGGAAUUAUUGGGCGUAAAGCGCACGUAGGCGGCUUUUCAAGUCCCAUGUGAAAUCCCACGGCUUAACCGUGGAAGUGCAUGGGAAACUGGAAGCUUGAGUACUUAAGAGGAUCGCGGAAUUCCCGGUGUAGAGGUGAAAUUCGUAGAUAUCGGGAGGAACACCAGUGGCGAAGGCGGCGAUCUGGGAAGAUACUGACGCUGAGGUGCGAAAGCGUGGGGAGCAAACAGG